UUCUCGUCUCCUCUGUUCUCUUCUCUUCUUAUCUAGUCUCUUUGCGUCUCUUUGUGUCUCUGAUGAUCGUUUGUCUCUCUUCUCUCAUUUUCUCUUUUAUAUUCUCUUAUUUUUUCUUACAUUCUCCCAGUCGAUUCUCUUCUUCUCUCCGCUACCUUUCUCUUCUCUUCUUUCAUUUCGUCCUAAGGUAAAACGAAUUCCUCGUGAGAACAGCCGAAUAAAUAUUUCGGCGCUGAAGUCAUUUGGACGGGAUUGUUUUUUUUUUUACCGGGUGACGUCUGUAAUCGUUUUUUUUUUUUUUUAAACACACUAUCACAGUGUUAGAAGCUUCCGGAAUAGCGAGUCUCCGACAGGUUGUUUAUCUCUGAACCUGGAAGAUCGCGUCCUCUCAUCACGGUCAGGUGAUUAUUCGGUAUUCCUCUAUUUGGCCGCAUGUAACGCUAAACGACUGAGGAACUGACCGCGAUACAACUGCCCAUCAUUUAUUUCUAGAAAAUGUUUGAGAAAUGUUUUGGAAGACUGUAAACACGUCCUCUGUGAGGGAGACGAUUAAAGCAGCUCCUUUAAUCAGCCUUGAGGAUCCUGCUUCGUGUGACUGAUUUUCUCUUCUCCCUCCUGCUCUCAGCGUUCGUCCUCCUCGUGUAGGCAGGAUGGAGAUGAAGUCGUGCAGCCCACACGGAGAAAGCUGUCGAGUCGCUCCUACAUCUGUGCGCGAUCCCAGAAGUGCGCGUAGUAGUUGUGGUUGAAAAUAAAUAAAUAAAUAAAUAAAUAGAUACAUUUCCGACACAAGACUGUACGUAAAGUGUCGAUGGAGACGGGAGUACGGCGGAAAAACAGGCCUCCUGUGUGGGGUUAACCCCAUCCGAACAGGGCUGGAGGUCACCACCACGUGUUUCAGACCUAUAUUAAAGGGUUUUUUUGCUUAUUAUUUCUGUAUUAAUUGAUUUCUACACAUUUACAUACUCAUUUACAUACUCAUUUACAUAUAAAUACACAUAAACCUAGCAACAGUGCCGUUUCCAAAGAUCUCGACAAGACCAUCCUCUCUCCUCUCCUCUCUUCUGUUCUAUCGCUCUUCUCUUUUCUGUUCUCUCCUGCAUCUUCUCUCUCAUUUGUUCUCUUAUUUCCCCUUCUCUUCACUUUUAUUAUUAUCUCUCUGCUCCUUUCUUCCUAUCUUCCCUCAAUCCUUCCUCUUCUCUUUUCCCUCUCUAUCUAGUUGUCCUCUUUCUUUAUCCCUCUCUAUCUAGUGUCCUCUUCUCUUUUCCCUCUCUAUCUAGUGUCCUCUUUUCUUUAUCCCUCUCUAUCUAGUGUCCUCUUCUCUUUAUCUCUCU
ensembl:lncRNA